rnacentral:rRNA from 1 species
UACGUAGGGACCAAGCGUUGUUCGGAUUUACUGGGCGUAAAGGGCGCGUAGGCGGCGUGUUAAGUCAGCUGUGAAAUCUCCAAGCUUAACUUGGAACGGUCAGCUGAUACUGAUGUGCUAGAGUGCAGAAGGGGCAAUCGGAAUUCUUGGUGUAGCGGUGAAAUUGCGUAGAUAUCAAGAGGAACACCUGAGGUGAAGACGGGUUGCUGGGCUGACACUGACGCUGAGGCGCGAAAGCUAGGGUAGCAAACGGG